rnacentral:rRNA from 1 species
GAUGAACGCUGGCGGCGUGCCUAAUACAUGCAAGUCGAGCGAACGGACGAGAAGCUUGCUUCUCUGAUGUUAGCGGCGGACGGGUGAGUAACACGUGGAUAACCUACCUAUGAGACUGGGAUAACUUCGGGAAACCGGAGCUAAUACCGGAUAAUAUUUUGAACCGCAUGGUUCAAAAGUGAAAGACGGUCUUGCUGUCACUUAUAGAUGGAUCCGCGCUGCAUUAGCUAGUUGGUAAGGUAACGGCUUACCAAGGCAACGAUGCAUAGCCGACCUGAGAGGGUGAUCGGCCACACUGGAACUGAGACACGGUCCAGACUCCUACGGGAGGCAGCAGUAGGGAAUCUUCCGCAAUGGGCGAAAGCCUGACGGAGCAACGCCGCGUGAGUGAUGAAGGUCUUCGGAUCGUAAAACUCUGUUAUUAGGGAAGAACAUAUGUGUAAGUAACUGUGCACAUCUUGACGGUACCUAAUCAGAAAGCCACGGCUAACUACGUGCCAGCAGCCGCGGUAAUACGUAGGUGGCAAGCGUUAUCCGGAAUUAUUGGGCGUAAAGCGCGCGUAGGCGGUUUUUUAAGUCUGAUGUGAAAGCCCACGGCUCAACCGUGGAGGGUCAUUGGAAACUGGAAAACUUGAGUGCAGAAGAGGAAAGUGGAAUUCCAUGUGUAGCGGUGAAAUGCGCAGAGAUAUGGAGGAACACCAGUGGCGAAGGCGACUUUCUGGUCUGUAACUGACGCUGAUGUGCGAAAGCGUGGGGAUCAAACAGGAUUAGAUACCCUGGUAGUCCACGCCGUAAACGAUGAGUGCUAAGUGUUAGGGGGUUUCCGCCCCUUAGUGCUGCAGCUAACGCAUUAAGCACUCCGCCUGGGGAGUACGACCGCAAGGUUGAAACUCAAAGGAAUUGACGGGGACCCGCACAAGCGGUGGAGCAUGUGGUUUAAUUCGAAGCAACGCGAAGAACCUUACCAAAUCUUGACAUCCUUUGACAACUCUAGAGAUAGAGCUUUCCCCUUCGGGGGACAAAGUGACAGGUGGUGCAUGGUUGUCGUCAGCUCGUGUCGUGAGAUGUUGGGUUAAGUCCCGCAACGAGCGCAACCCUUAAGCUUAGUUGCCAUCAUUAAGUUGGGCACUCUAAGUUGACUGCCGGUGACAAACCGGAGGAAGGUGGGGAUGACGUCAAAUCAUCAUGCCCCUUAUGAUUUGGGCUACACACGUGCUACAAUGGACAAUACAAAGGGCAGCGAAACCGCGAGGCCAAGCAAAUCCCAUAAAGUUGUUCUCAGUUCGGAUUGUAGUCUGCAACUCGACUACAUGAAGCUGGAAUCGCUAGUAAUCGUAGAUCAGCAUGCUACGGUGAAUACGUUCCCGGGUCU